UACGAAGGGGACUAGCGUUGUUCGGAAUCACUGGGCGUAAAGCGCACGUAGGCGGAUGUGUCAGUCAGGGGUGAAAUCCCGGGGCUCAACCUCGGAACUGCCUUUGAUACAGCACGUCUCGAGUCCGGAAGAGGUGGGUGGAAUUCCUAGUGUAGAGGUGAAAUUCGUAGAUAUUAGGAAGAACACCGGUGGCGAAGGCGGCCCACUGGUCCGGUACUGACGCUGAGGUGCGAAAGCGUGGGGAGGCAA
rnacentral:rRNA from 1 species